rnacentral:tRNA from 1 species
GCCGGCUUAGCUCAGUUGGUAGAGCAAUUCACUCGUAAUGAAUAGGUCAGCGGUUCAAGUCCGCUAGCCGGCUCCA